rnacentral:rRNA from 1 species
UACGUAGGGGGCAAGCGUUGUCCGGAAUCAUUGGGCGUAAAGAGCGUGUAGGCGGCUCGGUAAGUCCGCUGUGAAAGUCCAGGGCUCAACCCUGGAAUGCCAGUGGAAACUGUCGAGCUAGAGUCCGGAAGAGGCGAGUGGAAUUCCUGGUGUAGCGGUGAAAUGCGCAGAUAUCAGGAGGAACACCAUGGCGAAGGCAGCUCGCUGGGACGGUACUGACGCUGAGACGCGAAAGCGUGGGGAGCAAACAGG